rnacentral:rRNA from 1 species
UACAGAGGUGGCAAGCGUUGUUCGGAAUUACUGGGCGUAAAGCGCGCGUAGGCGGCUUUGUAAGUCAGAGGUGAAAGCCUGGAGCUCAACUCCAGAACUGCCUUUGAUACUGAGGAGCUCGAGUCCGGAAGAGGUGAGUGGAACUCCGAGUGUAGAGGUGAAAUUCGUAGAUAUCGGGAAGAACACCCGUGGCGAAGGCGGUUCUCUGGGGACGGUACUGACGCUGAGACG